UUCAGUAAUGGUGAGUUUUUCACCUUCUCCUUCAUUGUUUUGCUCAUCUGAAUAAAAAAAAAAAAGGCAAGAUUAAAGAAAAAGCAAUAGUUUUAUUAUUUUUACCCUGUUAUGUCUGUUUCCUCAGUAUUUGCUGGAGCUGUGCUUACCCAAGGUUUGGGUAAAACAAGCUUUGGGUUCCUUCUGUCUCACUGGGAGUUGCCCAAUUCAGUUGCAUCUGGUGAAAUUCACCCUGAGACCUUACAGAACUAGCUCCAACUACGUGAGAGCCAUUUGCAGUUCUCUCCAGACACCUGGAGAAUGGGCGACGUUUCUGAGGAUCCGGCGAGCGUGCUUCUAUCAAAACUCAGUCUGUGAAAUUUCUGGGGAAAACACUUCUGUGUCCUGAAGGGUUCAAACUCUGGUGAGGAUCCAGUUAUCAGGUGCUCACCUGGAUGGUUCCAGCUCCCAAAGGGAAAGGCUCUCGUAUCCUUGUCGUCGGGCUCGGUGCUGUCCAAGAAGAUACAGAGACUAAAAAAAUCAUAAGAAGCAAAAUAUGACUGCAGGGAAAAGAAGCUGGAGAGAACAGAAGACAUUGCUCCACUCCCCAGAGGAUUAUUGUGAGCAGAUGUGAGCUCUGCUGUCCCUUUGGACUGACAAAGACAGAGGUUUUGUCCCAAGUUGCUUUUGAACCUGUCCUGCACCCGUUACGAGUCCUCAGUCUCCUGCAAUUUUGUGGGUCAGUCACAUGUAAAACAGCACAGCUGGCUGGCAUGCUUUGCUCAUGAGGGGAGACAAGAGAAGAAUCCCUCUGCUCACACCAGACCUGCAGCUGCCAAACCUCACCAAAGCACCUGAGGAGCCCCCAGGGACUGAUGGUACAGAAGGGAGGUGAUGGAGGACAGCACAGCAGGCAGCCUGCCCUCCAUCUGGCUGUGAAGAAGGCAGGGCUGGGAACUGUCAGCAACAUCCCAGCAGGUCUGGCUGAUGGUGCCACCCUGAGGGCUUCCCCUGCCUUUGGGCAGUCCCAGCUGCUGCAGCUCACUUGACAGAGACUCAUUGUCUAUACUGUGCUUGGCUGCACUGGAGAUGAUGAAGCCGAGGACAGCAAUGGUUGCCUUCACAUCCCCUGACUGCAGAUGGGAAGGAGGGCGAGCUCUGUCACCUUGGGAAGGCCUCUGCAGAGUCACUGCUGCCCGUCUCU